UCUCAGCCUCUCCUGGAGAAAGCAUUGCAGCAUGACAGCUCCAACUGAGACCACGGGAAUCCUCCUGAUCCUUGUCUGACCACUGGUAUCUAGAAAAAGGCACAAGAAAAAUCUUCCCUGGGCCACACCUAGAGGAAAAUGCUGGUCUGCUGCGCCUUGCAUCCCUGAGGCACUAGGGGCAAGCGCCCACAAUGUUCAGAAGAUCCCGGCAUGGUGGGGAUGUUUUAGUACUUCCAUUUCAGAAGUGGCUGAACUCAAGCAGAGCGAGAUGAAGUGGUAUGUCUUGUCCCUGAGCCAGUGGGUGGCAGAACCAAGGCUGGACCACAGUAGUCGCCCUGCUUGGAGCCUCAGGAUGGAAACGGAGACUGAAGCAGGCAAUGAAAGGCCAGCUUGCAGAGGAGACGGAGCGGCCUGGGACAGUGUCAAGGCCCCUCAGCGUUGCCAGCAGGAUCUCCCCUUCAGUAAACCAUGAGGGGUCACUGGGUGGUGUUUCUUUCUUGGCACAGCUGCAGAUAUGGUCCAUUGCUUCUGUUAUGCUCUGCUAACAUUGUUUUCCUAGUGACUUUAGUGUUGAUCUAACAUAACCGUUACAUCUUAUUCCCGUUCUAAGAUGAAGUGUAAUAUAAGGGAGGCCUGUUUUUCAUUAGCAUUGAAUUUGCUGCACAGGAACUUUCUUUAACACAGUUCAUAAUGGGGCGAGGAG